GAGGAUUGACAGACAGUUACCAUGCCCUUUCGAAAGGAGUCAGGUUUUAAACCUAAUGGCUCUUUCAUGAUUAUAUGAUAGGUGGUGCAUGGCCGUUCUUAGUUCGUGGAGUGAUCUGUCUGCUUAAUUGCGUUUCAAAUUUUUAUUUGAGGACCAGGUUUUGGUUUGGGUAGUGGUCCUACGAUGACUGUGAACUGUCAUGUCUUCGGAUGUGCGACUAUCGGUCUAGGAUCGCAUCUCAGCCCCUGGGACUCUUUUGAACGCAACGGACGUGAUUGCAACCCCUUGUUGAGAUUAGAGGAGUCUCGAUAUUCAUUGGCCAAACUUACCGCUUCGAGCUUGCUCGUGCAGUUUUGUUAGCCGGUGGAUAAACUCGGGGGACUGCUGACUAUAACCAUUUCUCAAAACAGAGGAAGGUUGCGGCAAUAACAGGUCUGUGAUGCCCUCAGAU
rnacentral:rRNA from 1 species